rnacentral:tRNA from 1 species
AUUUAAAUAGUUUAUAA